rnacentral:rRNA from 1 species
AAGGUUUGGUCCCGACCUUGAAGACAAUUAUUACUUAAUAUACACAUGCAAGUCUCCGCCCACCCGUGAAAACGCCCUUAAACCCCUUAUAGGGACAAGGAGCUGGUAUCAGGCACGAAAAUCUGCCCAAAACACCUAGCUUUGCCACACCCACAAGGGAACUCAGCAGUGAUUAACAUUGAAUAUUAGCAC